rnacentral:ncRNA from 1 species
AAUUUGUUGAAUAGGUUAAUAUUAUUUAAUUUUAAUAAUUAUUUAAUUUUAAAUUAAUUUUAAUAUAUAAAUUUUAAUUAUUAUAAGUAACUUAUAAUUAAGAAGAUUUAAUAUUUAUUGUCAAAUUUUUGUGCCAGCAGUCGCGGUUAAACAAAAAAUAAAUAAAUUUAUUUAAUAUUUAAUUUUUUUUUAUUAAUUAAUUAUUAAUUUAAAUUAUAUUAUAAUAGGUGAAAUUUUAUAUAUUUAAAUAAGUUAAUAUUAUUUAUUUUAUAAUUAUAAUUUAUAAAAUAAAAUUUUAAACUAGGAUUAGAUACCCUAUUAUAAUUUAUUGAAAUUAAAUUUUAUUUAUUAAAUUAAAUUAUUUAUAGUUAAAUUCUAAAAAUUUAAAAAAGAUGGCGGUUAAUUAUUUAAUUUAGAGGAACUUGAAAUUUAAAUUGAUAUUUCACGAUAAAUUAAACUUUUUUAAUUAUUCUUAUAUCGUUGUUAUAAAAAUUUUUUUUAAAAAUUUAAAAUAUUUAUAAUUUAAGAUUUUAUUAUAUAUCAAAUCAAGAUGUGGUAAUAAAAAAGAUAUUUUUGAGUUACAUUUAAUAAAAUUUUUAGAAUUAAAAAAUGAAAAUUUUUAAUGAAAUUGGAUUUAAUAGUAAUUGAUAAUUAAUUAUUAAUAAUGAAUAUAAUUUUAAUUUAUGUACAUAUUGCCCGUCACUCUUUUAAAGUUUAAUUUUAAAAGAUAAGUCGUAACAUAGUAGAAGUACUGGAAAGUGUUUCUAGAUGAA